rnacentral:misc_RNA from 1 species
CUUAAAGAGUAUCCUUUUAAAAAAGGCUUUAUGAAGAAAGCAUUUUAAGCUUUUCCAGUGAUUUAAGAUGAUACCGGGGAAGGUUUUCCGGUUUAUCCCGGAGGGCUUGUAGCUCAGUUGGUUA